rnacentral:lncRNA from 1 species
GUGUUGUGGUGUCAGGCUGGGCCGUGUCCUGAGCCACCCCAGCCCGGGUGGUGCUCCCAGCAAGUGCCCCCAUGCCCACUGCUCCCUCCCCUGCCGCACACCCUGAUCUGGAUGCCACCCCCCACCCCAGAGGAGCGCAGCAGUGCCUCCGUCAGGCUGGCAGGGCCAGCGCACUCACAGGUCACCAGGCUGGGGUUGGGGCGAGAGGCUAGGGCUCAACCGGUAGGACCCAGGGACCGGGCAGGCAGGGCUCCUUGUCCCCUUGGGGGGCACUGGUGUUUGCCCUGAACCCUGAGCACUCCCAGGUCAGAGAAGCCCCCUCCUUAGACACAGGGCGAGGCCCACUGAAGGCCGCUGGCAGAGCCCUGAGCCCCACGUGGGCCUGAGUAUCUGUCCCUGGACACCUGGGAAGAGGGCUGUCCUGGGGCUCUGCUGGGGGUGUGACUGAGGCUGGGGGGGGGCCCUGGGCUGCGCCAGCUCUGAGGCCUCUGCACCCCCCAGCCUCUCCUUGGCGGGAGCAUGGUCACUCAGGUGGGCUCCCUGGACUUGGCACCCAGGUCCCUGGGCAGAGGAAGCGCAGGGGAUGCACCGCGCAGUGAGGGGGUCUCUUAUCUCCUGUCCCCCUUCUCGUGGCAGUGACCUCCUUGGAGCAGAGCCUCCAGUCCCUGGGGACGCCAGAUGACACACAGGAGCUGCGGGACAGCCUAGGACUUGCACAUCAGAGGACGAAGGAGGCACGAGGCAGGCUGAUCCGGUUGCGUGGCCUGGCGGCUGUUGGAGCGGCUUAGCGCCCAGAGCCCGGGCGCAUGCCGGGCCGUCUCCUCUCCGCCUCGCAGAGCUCAGACCAGCAGCAUCAGACCCACAUGGACCCUCAUCCCAGCCCCGCCGCGACCGCACGCGCCUGCGCGCAGAGACCCCCGGGGCUGUGCUGAGGAACCAGGAUGGGGAGAGUAGGUCCCCCCAGGCCAUCCGCCGUUGUCUGCGCUUAGGGUCGUCCUGGGUGGAAGGGGCCCUGGUCCCUGGGCUGGCCUCACGCUGACUUGUCAGAGCUGCCUCUGGAGCCCAGGGCACGACCCGGGCCCUCCCAGCGGACCAGACCAGGUCCCCCUUAACACAUGGGGAACCUGAGGCAGGAGAGGGAGGGGCUUUCCUGGGGCCACCGAGCGAGAGCAGAGCUGUGGAGUGUCCCUAGGACCUCGGGGUGGGGUUCGCCUGUCACCUGGGGCCCGGGA